rnacentral:rRNA from 1 species
UACAGAGGUCUCAAGCGUUGUUCGGAUUCAUUGGGCGUAAAGGGUGUGUAGGUGGCGCCGUAAGUCGGGUGUGAAAUUUCGGAGCUUAACUCCGAAACUGCAUUCGAUAACUGCGGUGCUUGAGGACUGGAGAGGAGACUGGAAUUCAUGGUGUAGCAGUGAAAUGCGUAGAGAUCAUGAGGAAGACCAGUGGCGAAGGCGGGUCUCUGGACAGUUCCUGACACUGAGACACGAAGGCCAGGGGAGCAAACGGG